rnacentral:lncRNA from 1 species
AUGAAAUAAAAACAUGCUAUUUGAACAAACUUUUUUUAUAAAGAAUAAGUUGACUGAAAAGCAGUUUUAAAUAACAUGAACUCACAAAUGACUUUUAGAAGCCAAAUAAACAUUUCCAUUUUAGAGAACAGUAUGUAAUACAUAACUUAAAAGCAUAUAGAACACAUAUUCAUACAUUCUUAAAAAUAAGAGAUUGUUAUUCCACAGAGAAUUUUUCAAAAAUCUAAAGUAUGUCCUGUUUAACCAACAAUUUGCUUCCAAAUAGGAGUCUCUUUUGAGAAGCUAAAUAUUAAUUUUCAAACAACUAUUUCUCCAUUUGGUAACUGGAAUCAUUCAUAUUAAAACAAAGGUCUUUAUGUCAAUGUAUAUUAAUAUGGCUGAAGGCUCCAGCCCUGAGUUAUUUUUUUUACUUCCUUAAAUUCAUAUUUACAACAUAUAUCAAUUUGAGGUAUGAUGACAAAAACAGAAACAAAAGACACAAUGGUAGAUGAGAAUCUAUCUCCUUGUGGAAGAGGCAAAAUUAGUGUGGACUUCAUUUUUCUGACCUAUAAAACUAGGAAGUAUAAUCACAUUAUCUGUGACAAUUUUUCCUUCUAAAAUGCCAUGAAUUUGAAGAUAGACUUCAUGCCUUUCUCCAUCAUAUCAAUAGAGUUAAGAAUAUUGAUUUUGGAGUCAGGCUGCCUGGUUAUGAAUCCCAGCUCAGACAGCUAUUUUGUAAUCUUGGAAAAAAUACUUCACCUCUCUAUACUAAGUUUCCCCAUGUGUACGGUACUGAUCUCAUAGAGUUGUUAUGAGACUAACAUGGGUAAAUCACUUUAUAACAGUGGCUGAUACAAUGUUACACGAGUUUUCAAAUGAGAUAUCAUCACUCAUUGUUUGUGGGAAAAGAUUCUAACUAUGUCAUAUGAAUGAAGUAUGCCAUAUGAAAAGAUCAUAUCAUAUGGGAAGAUAUAUUAGGUUAAAUUGUCUAAUGAUUACAAAACACAAAGUGAGGUUUUUGUUUUGUUUUGUUUUUACCUGUAUCUUAGCUUCAUACAACUCAGGAAACAUUUGAAUAACAUUAUGAUAAAUAGAUAUAAAUGAUUAUAAAAAAUAAAAGAGUUUAAUUCAGACUAAUAAAAGUUUAAUUACAACACUUGGAAAUGUAGCACAAUAUCUCCACCUAGUGGACACCACCUUAAAAAUUUUUACAGAUACUGCUCAGCCUUUUUUUAUCACUGGGGGAAAACUUCAAAGAGAAGUAAUUUCACUAAUAUAGAGGGAUAAAAAAUAGAAAAUAAGUUAAACACUAUAUUACUAGUGCUCCAAAACAUCCCACAUACUUUUAGCCAUUUGUCUUACAACAAAAUUAUAAGGAGUUAUCAUGUUGUUCAUGCUCUUUUGAACAGUUUGUAGCAUUUUAAAAAAUGACUAUAUCCAGUACAAAAAUAACAUGCCAUGAAUGGUCUGGAAACUGCAGAGAGCAAACAUGGAUUUUCACCUCUCUCUCCAUAUACUACUUCUUUUGAUUAAAAAAAAAUUAAUUUAAAUAAACUUUUCAUAGUGAGGCAGAAUAUGAUGGUCAAAAACUCACAGGCUUGGGAGUCAUACCAAUCUAUGUUCAUUUAGUGACAGUGCGGACUUUGGGCAAAUCACCUGACCUGCCUGACCUUCAGUUUCUUCAGCAGUCAAAUAGAAAUCAACAUCUACCUCACAGAAAUAUAAAUGUAGCAUCAAAUGAGACAAUAUUUGUAAAUCAGCUAGUAUAAUGCCUAAAACAUUACAGGUGUUCAAUGAAUGAUGGCAACCAUCAUUAUUAUUUUUCCUCCCUUUCUUUUUCAUCUUGUAUAUGCCGUACACACACAUAUAUGGUUCAACUAAACUGAAUUAAGUUUCACUGUGAAAAACCAACACAUUUAAUAAUUUUCUCGUUGGAAGCUGGCACAGUGGUUCAUGGUAAAUCCCAGCACUUUGGUAGGCCAAGGUGGGAGGAUCA